rnacentral:lncRNA from 1 species
AUGCGAAUAGGAGCAGAAUAAAACAGCUACUAUUGGAAAUGAUCAGCCCCCCUCCUUCAAACCCCACACCCUUGUUAGAGGGUUGCAUUUGUGAAAGUGAAAGUUAGCGCCCGCAACUUUUACCCACGACGCAUGUUUCGUGGAUUUAAGGAGUCGAAAGGGAAAAUCCUAUGCAUUCUUUAAAUUAAAACUGGGAUAUUACAGCUCUUGAUGCACGGAAUUACUUAUCGGAUAUGAUUCAAAAAUGCGUUUGGAUCUUGCUGCCUUGCGCGCAUUCUGCAGCAUUAUACAGAUGAUCUCCCUGACGACGUCUUUUCUCAUUUCAGUCACCUGCUUUUUACCAAGAAAACACAGAGGAAAGGACUCAGAUGUCAUGUUGUACACUCCAAAUUUAGAUAUUAUUGCAAAAGAACAAGGCUGCGAGUGCUUCUUCAUGAAGUGCUUCCUCAUGGAGCUACAGGUCUACCAGGCAGAAAAUGAGCUGGACUUCAAUACAACAAAAGACUACCUUAAACACAUAAAACAGGAUAUCAGAACCUGUUCACCAUGUGAGGCUCAACCUGCUGCCAAUAUUUCCACAUUCUUUACAAGUCUGAGUGAGACCUUGGAUCGCUAUAGUUCGGAGAACACUGAGUGCUUUGACUGA